rnacentral:tRNA from 1 species
CCUGGAGGCUUAGACGGUAAAGAAUCUGCCUGCAACGCAGGAGACCCAGGUUCGAUCCCUGGGUCAGGA